CGAUCAAUUAGCAAACUUAAAGCCCAUGAACUUACUGAAAAGCUUUAGAAUUGUGGAAUACAAAGCCCAUUGUUCGCUUACACAUAUAUCCACUUUUUCCUCCGUCUGCUUCUUCUCCUUCUUCAAUUUUGCCAUUCACUCGCUUCACUUCACUUCACUUCACUUCACCCGCCAACAGUUUCCAAUUCCCAGCAACGGGAAUCAACUACCUUUUCAACCACCCAAAAGACCGAAACAUGUUUUCACUUCUCAGACGCACAAAACCCGCCGCCGCCACCGCUGCCGCUGCUGCAAUCAAACACUUCACCACCAAAAUCCCCCCUGCGAAGCCUCCAGCUCAUGCACACCAAACGAAAACGUCAUCUUUACGGUUAGGUUUAGGGUCUAUACGGAAAGUUAGCGACAAAAGCACUACAGAUUACGAUCACAUUAGAGCUAAUGUGAAUUGCCCAAGAUGUUCCUCACAAAUGCCGGUGCUCUUCUCGAACCGGCCAUUGUCGAUUACCGGCCGUGAAACUGGGAUUUUCCAAGCGGUUAAUUUUUGCCCCAAUUGUAAAACGGCAUUUUAUUUUAGGCCGUUUAAGUUAGAGCCUUUGCAGGGGAGUUUUAUUGAGCUUGGUAGGGUUAAGGGUUUUGAUAAUGGUAGUUGUAGCAGUAAUAAUGUUAAUUGUAAGGAUACAGGGGGCGUUAUUGUAAAAGAUUGUGGUAAAAUUGGAAGCUUUGAGGUGGCUUGUGAUGAUGUUGAUGAUGAUGAUGAUGUGAAGUUGGAGAAUGAGUUGCCUACUCCUAAAGAGAUUUGUAAAGGGCUUGAUGAGUUUGUUAUUGGGCAGGACAGAGCUAAAAAGGUGCUUGCUGUGGCAGUUUAUAACCACUACAAGAGGAUAUAUCAUGGUUCCAAACGUAAAGAAUCUGGAGCAGACAUGGGUUAUACUGAUAGUCAAAAUGAUGACAAUGAGAUUGUAGAAUUAGACAAGAGUAAUGUAUUGUUGAUGGGUCCCACCGGCUCAGGGAAGACAUUACUUGCAAAAACACUAGCUCGCGUCGUGAAUGUACCAUUUGUCAUUGCCGAUGCAACAACACUAACACAGGCAGGUUAUGUUGGGGAAGAUGUGGAAUCGAUCUUGUAUAAGCUACUAGCGGCGUCUGAGUUCAAUGUGGAAGCAGCGCAGCGAGGGAUUAUCUACAUCGAUGAAGUAGAUAAAAUAACUAAAAAGGCUGAAAGUUCCAAUAUUGGUAGAGAUGUUUCUGGAGAGGGUGUUCAACAGGCAUUACUGAAAAUGCUGGAAGGAACUAUAGUAAACGUUCCUGUUCCUGAUAAAGGACCUCGUAAGCAUCCACGUGGCGAUCCGAUUCAGAUAGACACAAAAGACAUCCUAUUCAUAUGUGGUGGGGCAUUUGUUGAUUUGGAGAAAACCAUUUCAGAAAGACGACAGGAUGCUUCUAUUGGCUUUGGAGCACCAGUACGUACAAAUAUGAGGACUGGUAGAAUGAUUGAUGCUGUGGUGGCAUCAUCAUUGUUGGAAUCUGUAGAAAGUGGUGAUUUAGUAGCAUAUGGCCUGAUUCCUGAAUUUGUUGGACGGUUCCCCAUAUUAGUUAGCCUAUCAGCCUUGAAUGAGGACCAGCUGGUUCAGGUCCUUGUGGAGCCAAAAAAUGCUCUUGGUAAACAGUACAAGAAGAUGUUCAGCAUGAAUGAUGUCAAACUACAUUUUACUGAUGAAGCAUUGAGGUUAAUUGCAAAGAAAGCAAUGGCUAAGAACACUGGUGCACGAGGUUUGAGAGCCAUAUUAGAAAGCAUUCUCACAGAAGCAAUGUAUGAGAUUCCGGAGAAUAAAACAGGAAGCAAUUGUAUAAGUGCAGUUUUGGUAGAUGAAGAGGCGGUUGGGUCAGCAGAUGAACCAGGAUGUGGAGCGAAAAUUCUUCAUGGGGAUGGUGCACUGGGGUGCAGUUUUCAUGCAACAAAGUUGAAAGAUUUGGUAUACCAUUCAUGACCUCUUUCUCCUCUUUAUUCGUUUUGCAAGUGGAAAUACUUCUCAUCUUGUUAACAGAGAUUUGAUUUAUGGGACUUGGCUACAAGAGCUAACUAAUUUCCUAGCCGCAACAUAGAAAACCGACCUUCGACUGCAUUUUUAAUGGACUUAGCAUGAACGCAAAAAAGUUAGCUCAUUGCAUCACUUGACUCAAUGCCAUACAGUAAAAAAAAAAAUAUUAGCGUUUGAAUUCAGUUCAUUUGUCUUCGAUAUCACGUCAAUGAAAGAAAAAGGACUUGGCUUCCGUGGAAAGCUCAUGGACCCAUUUGUUGUCAGGGGAAUGGUGGGAUUGCACAGGCUGAGCAUUCAGAGGGCGAAUCGGAAUUUCAGUCAAGAGCCCUGAGCUUGUAACUAUAAUAGAGCAUGUGUACAUUAUGUCCACAUGUAUACCUUCCACAUUACAAAUGCAAUAAAAAUAAGUCUCACAAGUCCAGAAAAAACCAGAGCAUGCCUCGCCAGAAAAAAGGCUAAACUGAGUGGAAUGCAGGCGAAGGAUCCAAUUCCAUAUAGUAAAUGGUUGCGCUGACAUAUAAUUGAGUCGAGACUGAGUUGAUACGUAAUGUGAUGCAUCACAUAACAAUGAAAGAAACUAAUGAAGAGGGCUGCUGCCUGUUGAUGGAGUUCAAAUGGACCUGUUAACAAGCAAAAUAUGAUUUAUCCAAAAAGGGACGACCAGGGGCGGCUUGCCCAUUUCUUAAGCUCAGAUCAAACAUUAAAAGAACUGCCUGGAUUCUAUUGUCUUCCCCAUUUCUAUGUUUCUGGUUGCUUUUGCCAUGCAGGGUCUGGGGGCCUUCUCCGAUCACUGUUCAAUGUUCAUCCAGCAUACUGGUUUCAAAAGAGAGCAAAACUAUAUGGAACCUAAUCAAUACUUGGAAAUACAGUCGCUAUGUUUUAGGAA